rnacentral:tRNA from 1 species
GAGGGAGGUUAAAAACAGCAAGAACUGCUAAUUCUCGCAACCACGGUUAAAUUCCGCGGCUCACUCG